rnacentral:rRNA from 1 species
CACGGGGGGAGCAAGCGUUGUUCGGAAUUACUGGGCGUAAAGGGCGUGUAGGCGGUCUGGUAAGUGGGAUGUGAAAUGCCCCGGCUCACCCGGGGACCUGCAUCCCAAACUACCUGGCUUGAGUAUGGGAGAGGAUGAGGGAAUUCCAGGUGGAGCGGUGAAAUGCGUAGAUAUCUGGAGGAACGCCGGCGGCGAAAGCGACUCUCUGGUCUGCAACUGACGCUGAGGUGCGAAAGCUAGGGGAGCAAACGGG